rnacentral:lncRNA from 10 species
AUGAGAUCUGAUGGUUUUAUAAGUGGCUUCCGCUUUCACUUGGCUCUCAUUCUCUCUUGUCUGCCGACAUGUAAGAUGUGCCUCUUGCCUUCUGCCCUGAUUGUGAGGCUUCCCCGGCCACGUGAAACUGUCCUGCAUACUGAUGGAAUUACUACACCAGCUUGUCUGUAAGACCCCAGUGGUGCCAGCUGGUCUGAAGGAUACCACUGACUCAGCUGAUCUGAGGGUCCCCACGAGAAGUGGACUCACUAAAGAAUGCAGUUUCUAUAUCGUGAUGAUAUCACCCUCCUUGCCCUGACCAAUCAACAACCCCAAUUUUCCAAUCCUUCACCCUCAAUGAUCCCCUUAAAAAUCCCAGCCAAGAACUCCUCGAGGAGAUGGGUUUGAGGAUGUCCUCCCAUCUCCUUGCUUGGCGCCCUGCAAAAAUUAAACUCUGUCUCUGCUGCAUCCCUGCUGUCUGUGUCAGUGGUCUGUUACUGUGCAGUGGACACAUG